rnacentral:rRNA from 1 species
CUCUGGUGUUCGGGUUGUGUCGCCAGACGCAUUGCCCGGUAGCUAAGUUCGGAAUCGAUAACCGCUGAAAGCAUCUAAGCGGGAAGCGAGCCCUGAGAUGAGUCUUCCCUGAUACUUUAAGUAUCCUGAAGGGUUGUUCGAGACUAGAACGUUGAUAGGCAGGGUGUGUAAGCGCUGUGAGGCGUUGAGCUAACCUGUACUAAUUGCCCGUGAGGCUUAACCAUACAACACCCAAAGGGUUUUG